CUGGGCGUUAAGUUGCAGGGUAUAGACCCGAAACCCGGUGAUCUAGCCAUGGGCAGGUUGAAGGUUGGGUAACACUAACUGGAGGACCGAACCGACUAAUGUUGAAAAAUUAGCGGAUGACUUGUGGCUGGGGGUGAAAGGCCAAUCAAACCGGGAGAUAGCUGGUUCUCCCCGAAAGCUAUUUAGGUAGCGCCUCGUGAAUUCAUCUCCGGGGGUAGAGCACUGUUUCGGCAAGGGGGUCAUCCCGACUUACCAACCCGAUGCAAACUGCGAAUACCGGAGAAUGUUAUCACGGGAGACACACGGCGGGUGCUAACGUCCGUCGUGAAGAGGGAAACAACCCAGACCGCCAGCUAAGGUCCCAAAGUCAUGGUUAAGUGGGAAACGAUGUGGGAAGGCCCAGACAGCCAGGAUGUUGGCUUAGAAGCAGCCAUCAUUUAAAGAAAGCGUAAUAGCUCACUGGUCGAGUCGGCCUGCGCGGAAGAUGUAACGGGGCUAAACCAUGCACCGAAGCUGCGGCAGCGACGCUUAUGCGUUGUUGGGUAGGGGAGCGUUCUGUAAGCCUGUGAAGGUGUACUGUGAGGUAUGCUGGAGGUAUCAGAAGUGCGAAUGCUGACAUAAGUAACGAUAAAGCGGGUGAAAAGCCCGCUCGCCGGAAGACCAAGGGUUCCUGUCCAACGUUAAUCGGGGCAGGGUGAGUCGACCCCUAAGGCGAGGCCGAAAGGCGUAGUCGAUGGGAAACAGGUUAAUAUUCCUGUACUUGGUGUUACUGCGAAGGGGGGACGGAGAAGGCUAUGUUGGCCGGGCGACGGUUGUCCCGGUUUAAGCGUGUAGGCUGGUUUUCCAGGCAAAUCCGGA
rnacentral:rRNA from 1 species